rnacentral:rRNA from 1 species
UACGUAGGUGACAAGCGUUGUCCGGAUUUACUGGGCGUAAAGAGCGCGCAGGCGGUCGUUCAAGUCGAGUGUGAAAGCCCCCGGCUCAACUGGGGAGGGUCAUUCGAUACUGAUCGACUCGAAGGCAGGAGAGGGUAGUGGAAUUCCCGGUGUAGUGGUGAAAUGCGUAGAUAUCGGGAGGAACACCAGUGGCGAAGGCGACUACCUGGCCUGUUCUUGACGCUGAGGCGCGAAAGCGUGGGGAGCAAACAGG